rnacentral:rRNA from 1 species
GGUUAAGCGACUAAGCGUACACGGUGGAUGCCCUGGCAGUCAGAGGCGAUGAAGGACGUGCUAAUCUGCGAUAAGCGUCGGUAAGGUGAUAUGAACCGUUAUAACCGGCGAUUUCCGAAUGGGGAAACCCAGUGUGAUUCGACACACUAUCAUUAACUGAAUCCAUAGGUUAAUGAGGCGAACCGGGGGAACUGAAACAUCUAAGUACCCCGAGGAAAAGAAAUCAACCGAGAUUCCCCCAGUAGCGGCGAGCGAACGGGGAGCAGCCCAGAGCCUGAAUCAGUGUGUGUGUUAGUGGAAGCGUCUGGAAAGGCGCGCGAUACAGGGUGACAGCCCCGUACACAAAAAUGCACAUGCUGUGAGCUCGAUGAGUAGGGCGGGACACGUGGUAUCCUGUCUGAAUAUGGGGGGACCAUCCUCCAAGGCUAAAUACUCCUGACUGACCGAUAGUGAACCAGUACCGUGAGGGAAAGGCGAAAAGAACCCCGGCGAGGGGAGUGAAAAAGAACCUGAAACCGUGUACGUACAAGCAGUGGGAGCACGCUUAGGCGUGUGACUGCGUACCUUUUGUAUAAUGGGUCAGCGACUUAUAUUCUGUAGCAAGGUUAACCGAAUAGGGGAGCCGAAGGGAAACCGAGUCUUAACUGGGCGUUAAGUUGCAGGGUAUAGACCCGAAACCCGGUGAUCUAGCCAUGGGCAGGUUGAAGGUUGGGUAACACUAACUGGAGGACCGAACCGACUAAUGUUGAAAAAUUAGCGGAUGACUUGUGGCUGGGGGUGAAAGGCCAAUCAAACCGGGAGAUAGCUGGUUCUCCCCGAAAGCUAUUUAGGUAGCGCCUCGUGAAUUCAUCUCCGGGGGUAGAGCACUGUUUCGGCAAGGGGGUCAUCCCGACUUACCAACCCGAUGCAAACUGCGAAUACCGGAGAAUGUUAUCACGGGAGACACACGGCGGGUGCUAACGUCCGUCGUGAAGAGGGAAACAACCCAGACCGCCAGCUAAGGUCCCAAAGUCAUGGUUAAGUGGGAAACGAUGUGGGAAGGCCCAGACAGCCAGGAUGUUGGCUUAGAAGCAGCCAUCAUUUAAAGAAAGCGUAAUAGCUCACUGGUCGAGUCGGCCUGCGCGGAAGAUGUAACGGGGCUAAACCAUGCACCGAAGCUGCGGCAGCGACACUAUGUGUUGUUGGGUAGGGGAGCGUUCUGUAAGCCUGUGAAGGUGUACUGUGAGGUAUGCUGGAGGUAUCAGAAGUGCGAAUGCUGACAUAAGUAACGAUAAAGCGGGUGAAAAGCCCGCUCGCCGGAAGACCAAGGGUUCCUGUCCAACGUUAAUCGGGGCAGGGUGAGUCGACCCCUAAGGCGAGGCCGAAAGGCGUAGUCGAUGGGAAACAGGUUAAUAUUCCUGUACUUGGUGUUACUGCGAAGGGGGGACGGAGAAGGCUAUGUUGGCCGGGCGACGGUUGUCCCGGUUUAAGCGUGUAGGCUGGUUUUCCAGGCAAAUCCGGAAAAUCAAGGCUGAGGCGUGAUGACGAGGCACUACGGUGCUGAAGCAACAAAUGCCCUGCUUCCAGGAAAAGCCUCUAAGCAUCAGGUAACAUCAAAUCGUACCCCAAACCGACACAGGUGGUCAGGUAGAGAAUACCAAGGCGCUUGAGAGAACUCGGGUGAAGGAACUAGGCAAAAUGGUGCCGUAACUUCGGGAGAAGGCACGCUGAUAUGUAGGUGAAGCGACUUGCUCGUGGAGCUGAAAUCAGUCGAAGAUACCAGCUGGCUGCAACUGUUUAUUAAAAACACAGCACUGUGCAAACACGAAAGUGGACGUAUACGGUGUGACGCCUGCCCGGUGCCGGAAGGUUAAUUGAUGGGGUCAGCGCAAGCGAAGCUCUUGAUCGAAGCCCCGGUAAACGGCGGCCGUAACUAUAACGGUCCUAAGGUAGCGAAAUUCCUUGUCGGGUAAGUUCCGACCUGCACGAAUGGCGUAAUGAUGGCCAGGCUGUCUCCACCCGAGACUCAGUGAAAUUGAACUCGCUGUGAAGAUGCAGUGUACCCGCGGCAAGACGGAAAGACCCCGUGAACCUUUACUAUAGCUUGACACUGAACAUUGAGCCUUGAUGUGUAGGAUAGGUGGGAGGCUUUGAAGUGUGGACGCCAGUCUGCAUGGAGCCGACCUUGAAAUACCACCCUUUAAUGUUUGAUGUUCUAACGUUGACCCGUGAUCCGGGUUGCGGACAGUGUCUGGUGGGUAGUUUGACUGGGGCGGUCUCCUCCUAAAGAGUAACGGAGGAGCACGAAGGUUGGCUAAUCCUGGUCGGACAUCAGGAGGUUAGUGCAAUGGCAUAAGCCAGCUUGACUGCGAGCGUGACGGCGCGAGCAGGUGCGAAAGCAGGUCAUAGUGAUCCGGUGGUUCUGAAUGGAAGGGCCAUCGCUCAACGGAUAAAAGGUACUCCGGGGAUAACAGGCUGAUACCGCCCAAGAGUUCAUAUCGACGGCGGUGUUUGGCACCUCGAUGUCGGCUCAUCACAUCCUGGGGCUGAAGUAGGUCCCAAGGGUAUGGCUGUUCGCCAUUUAAAGUGGUACGCGAGCUGGGUUUAGAACGUCGUGAGACAGUUCGGUCCCUAUCUGCCGUGGGCGCUGGAGAACUGAGGGGGGCUGCUCCUAGUACGAGAGGACCGGAGUGGACGCAUCACUGGUGUUCGGGUUGUCAUGCCAAUGGCACUGCCCGGUAGCUAAAUGCGGAAGAGAUAAGUGCUGAAAGCAUCUAAGCACGAAACUUGCCCCGAGAUGAGUUCUCCCUGACUCCUUGAGAGUCCUGAAGGAACGUUGAAGACGACGACGUUGAUAGGCCGGGUGUGUAAGCGCAGCGAUGCGUUGAGCUAACCGGUACUAAUGAACCGUGAGGCUUAACCUUAC